rnacentral:rRNA from 1 species
UACGGAGGGUGCAAGCGUUAUCCGGAUUCACUGGGUUUAAAGGGUGCGUAGGCGGCUAGGUAGGUCCGUUGUGAAAACUCGAGGCUCAACCUCGAGACGCCGAUGGAAACCAUCUGGCUAGAGUCCGGAAGAGGAGAGUGGAAUUCCUGGUGUAGCGGUGAAAUGCGCAGAUAUCAGGAAGAACACCCGUGGCUAAGGCGGCUCUCUAGUACGGUACUGACGCUGAGACGCGAAAGCGUGGGGAGCGAACAGG